AAAGGAAUAGACGGGGGCCCGCACAAGCGGUGGAGUAUGUGGUUUAAUUCGACGCAACGCGAAGAACCUUACCAGGCCUUGACAUCCCGGGCGAAGCUAUAGAGAUAUAGUGGAGGCUAUCCCGGUGACAGGUGGUGCAUGGUUGUCGUCAGCUCGUGUCGUGAGAUGUUGGGUUAAGUCCCGCAACGAGCGCAACCCUUGUUUCUAGUUACCAGCAUUCAGUUGGGGACUCUAGAGAGACUGCCGGUGACAAACCGGAGGAAGGUGGGGAUGACGUCAAAUCAUCAUGCCCCUUAUGGCCUGGGCUACACACGUACUACAAUGGCGAUUACAAAGAGCAGCGAACCCGCGAGGGCAAGCGAAUCUCAUAAAGGUCGUCUCAGUUCGGAUUGGAGUCUGCAACUCGACUCCAUGAAGUCGGAAUCGCUAGUAAUCGUAGAUCAGCAUGCUACGGUGAAUACGUUCUCGGGCCUUGUACACACCGCCCGU
rnacentral:rRNA from 1 species